rnacentral:rRNA from 1 species
AAUGGUAACAGGAAACAGCUUGCUGUUUCGCUGACGAGUGGCGGACGGGUGAGUAAUGUCUGGGAAACUGCCUGAUGGAGGGGGAUAACUACUGGAAACGGUAGCUAAUACCGCAUAACGUCGCAAGACCAAAGAGGGGGACCUUCGGGCCUCUUGCCAUCAGAUGUGCCCAGAUGGGAUUAGCUAGUAGGUGGGGUAACGGCUCACCUAGGCGACGAUCCCUAGCUGGUCUGAGAGGAUGACCAGCCACACUGGAACUGAGACACGGUCCAGACUCCUACGGGAGGCAGCAGUGGGGAAUAUUGCACAAUGGGCGCAAGCCUGAUGCAGCCAUGCCGCGUGUAUGAAGAAGGCCUUCGGGUUGUAAAGUACUUUCAGCGGGGAGGAAGGGAGUAAAGUUAAUACCUUUGCUCAUUGACGUUACCCGCAGAAGAAGCACCGGCUAACUCCGUGCCAGCAGCCGCGGUAAUACGGAGGGUGCAAGCGUUAAUCGGAAUUACUGGGCGUAAAGCGCACGCAGGCGGUUUGUUAAGUCAGAUGUGAAAUCCCCGGGCUCAACCUGGGAACUGCAUCUGAUACUGGCAAGCUUGAGUCUCGUAGAGGGGGGUAGAAUUCCAGGUGUAGCGGUGAAAUGCGUAGAGAUCUGGAGGAAUACCGGUGGCGAAGGCGGCCCCCUGGACGAAGACUGAC